ensembl:lncRNA
GGCAAAGUUAGCGCUUCUAACUGACCGCUAGAGGACUCAGGGGGAUCGUUAAUGCACGCUGCCCUCUGGGGGUCGCGGAAGGAGACAGCUCCAGGGCUGUGAUGAAAUUUACUUGCCGACACCAGCCAGCAUCCGGCACUGAGGCUGAAAUACUGGAACAUAGAGAGAUGGACCUCAGUUAUUUGAAGCUAGACUUUCUUCCAGGAAAUUCUCUUGGACAGGACUUCCAGUGGCUCCAGACAGCCCUCUUUGCACUGUGGACCAUAUCUAGUCUACAAGGAACAGUCACAUAUCUAACCCACAGCUAGAGCAUUCAUCUCAGCUCUUUGAAAGCAGGAAAAGGCUGAUCUGGAGGAUGCUGGCCGCUAGGAGAGAACAGAACAGGAGCUGUAGCAACACAGAAAGGGAGAGAGAAAUCAUGUCUAUAGGAGGGCAGGUUUAGCCCACCCACCUCACCCAGCCCAUUGGAGCUGCUUGGAUUUUCAGAGGUGAGCCAAGGAGAGAAGCCCAGCCCAAGAGAGGUGCAGUUUCCCAACUUUACAGCUUUCUAGACCAUGGAGGAAAGUGGACUAUCCCCAAAAUGCAGUCCAGAUCCUCUUCCUCUGGACUCAAAGAAACAAAAAAGGCAGAAGAGCCAUGCUCAUUUAUUCCUUCAAUUCAGCACAAUGAAGCUUCUUUCCAUUAGCACCAGGAAUAAUAAAAUUAUCUCAAAAAUGCCUGUCCUUCUUCCUCCAAAGGAACUAAAUGUUUAUCGAGUAGUGCUUCUAGGCUAGGAGCUUUCCUUGACCUACAAGCAACAUUUCUUAAGGGGUUCAACACAAAAAUUCUAGACAACCAACUUUGAAAUAUUGAACUUCUCUAUACAUAAGUACACAGACAAAAGAAUCAUGUACACAUACUUAAAAUACUAAA